GUAGUCGUGGCCGAGUGGUUAAGGCGACAGACUAGAAAUCUGUUGCGAUUUUCCCGCGCAUGUUCAAAUCCUGCCAACUACG
rnacentral:tRNA from 1 species